UCAGAGGCCCUCACAUUAGGCGUCUUGCCUUUUGCUUGUUCAUCCCUAUGUGCGUACUCUGAAUCAGUGGAACCCAGCUAUUUCCAGCAGAAAAGUUCCUUGUCCAAGGAGUUACAAGCUUCCCAAGGCGCGAAGGCGAGGCACCGCGGCUGGCGGAGGCUGGUUGUGGCGGCGCUCCUGCAGCUGGCCUUUUCACGCGUCCUUCCUACAGAGAGUAAUGAGAUUUUUAUUUACCAGAAAAUCAAAGUCAAGAAAUUCUAACACAAAUACGACUUGAAGCCAUACUACGCUUCUUCUACCAUUUUAUCUCUAGAUUGUUAUAGAUACGGAAUGCUACAUUUAUCAGAAAAAGUGCUGUAUGAUAUCAAAUUCAGUGAUACUACGUCUAUAUUACCAUUUUUCUAGACUGCUAUGAAAAGGGGGAGCUAUUACAAGGAGGUAGAUAUUUCAGCUGUUCAGAGCCGCGUUUGAACUUCAUUGACACUCAAAGUUGCCUCACAAUGGACUUUCGCGACAAACACAAUAGGACUGUAUGCAGUCUGUCACUCAGCAGAACAACCGAUGCCUUCCACCCCAUUAUUCUGAAAGGAAUCGAAACAGUUAACAACACACAAUUCAAGUGAACCAUCUAAACAUCGACCGUUCAAGUGUGCACGCAAAGACUCACGGAACAUGGCGGAAGCUGGACAUUCGGGAGACAGAUGAGAUCUUCUCCUUUUACUUUCAAAGAUUCCUUCCCAACCCUGUUUUCUGCAUCACGUGCUAUAUGGGAGACAGAAGCACCGAGCCAGUAACCACCCAGGCCACGGAACAACGCGUGAUAGAAAUUAUGCAGUGGUUGUCUCUCUCGCUGGCAAUGAUAGUUUUUCUUGCCAGCUUCUUCAUCAUCUGGCGCAUACGAAAACUCAGGAAUCAAGCAUGAAAACGAAUGAUUUGACUUGCUUGGACAGAAUUAGUACAAGUACAAAAGAACUAAGAGAUCCGUAUGUGGAUGCUCCCAUGUUCAUGUUAAGAGAAAAUGUAAAACCAGUAACAUAGUGCUCAUAGGACAGUAAGACAAACUAUUGCUGAAAAAUAGUGAUGGCUAAACCUCUGCAGUUUGGAAUCAAUCGUUUCGUACAUUUAUUCCAUAGGAAAAUCUUUUGUUUGGAAAAUAAGUCAUGCUAAGGAUGAUGAAUUUAUAUGUUGAUUUGAUUUAUAAAAUUGACCAAAUCAAUUUUGAUUGUAGAGAUCUUGGAUAUUAUGCCGUUAUAUAAGUUAACACAUGUAGUUCUUUAAGGAGUAUGUUCAUAUGAGUCCAAAGAACAUUUAUAAAAAAUCCUUCCAUCUGCUCCUUAUUUCACUCGAAAGUGUGUGGCAUUGAUCUGAUUUGCUCUAAGAUUCAUUUUGAAUGAUUCUCUGAGAGAAAGACAAAUAUGCAAACGGUCAAAAGUUUUCUAUAAAAAAAAGAAAACAUGUUGCAUGUUGAUUUCUGUCUCUUUUCUUAUUGUAUAUAUAUAUUUGAAUUCUGGGAGAUUAGAACUGAUGGUUGUAUUUUCUCAAAUGUAGUCUGUAGGAAGGAGUGCAUUUCUUAUCAAUAUGCUUGAUCUGUGUAUUUACAUUAUGUUUUUGGUUCAAUUUCACUUCAUGUAAUUUUGUACACCACUCAUGGUUUUGUCUAGCUUGUGAACCAUUGUUUGUAAUUCUAACAGCAUAGAAGAAGAUUGUGUCUUCGAGACGAUUGGAAUAUAGAUAGUUACUACA